rnacentral:rRNA from 1 species
GCAGACUGCUUUGAACAUCGACCUCUUGAACGCACAUUGCGGCCGUAGGCUUGCCUACGGCCACGUCUGGCCGAGGGUCGGCU